AGCAGUAGCAAGGAUCUGGUGGUGGUUCAUGAUAUUGGACUGCAUUACUAAAUGUUCUAGGGUUGGAGAGAGCUUAGAGAGGGGGGAGAGGAGAAACGGCUGCGCCGGACGGUGCUCGUCAUGAUGUGCCUGUGAGUACCCUCCCCCUACCUUAGUUGUUGUUCUCCUUGUUUACCCCAUAACGGCUGCUUCGCGCGGAUUUGCGCCUCCAUCCAUCGCAGGGAGAGGAGGGCUAGAGUAGUCACCGUAGAGCAGGGAGGCGGCUGGAGUUGUCUGUUAUUGAGGGAAGAAUGGCAGCUCGGGGAGACUUGAGGCAGCGGUGGCGGGGAGUGUGUGUGUGUUCACAAUAGAUGUGUUUUCAGAACUUAUUACUUUUGAUACACUGCCCCUUUAUGUUGAGCAGAUGCGGAUCAUAUUUAGGGAGAUUAAGAUGCUCAAGACCAAGGAAUGCAGACUGAAGGCUGCCAAUGAUACCCUUCAAGAAAGGCCCUAACAGAUAAAUGGAAGCAUCUAUUGGGUGGUACUCUCACUACUUAGCAAAGAGAAUGAAGGGUCAACAUUUACGGUCAUGCUGCCCAUGCUUGGGAAAAAAGGCAAAAAUGUUUUACGGCUCAAGCAUGGGAAGUAUAGACCAAAGAAUGUGGUUUACAGUUUCCCUAUUUUGUUGGAUCAACUAAUGUGUUGCUUUGUUGCUUCAUGUGAGUGAUGUAUGUAAUCAAGAACCAGGAAAGCAUACCAGUAUAUUGCAAUUCCAAAACUUAGAAAAAUGC